rnacentral:lncRNA from 1 species
GGAGAUUUUGGGCUGAGAUGAUAGGGUUUUCUAAAUAUACAAUCAUGUCAUCUGCAAACAGGGACAAUUUGACUUCCUCAUUUCCUAAUUGAAUACCCUUUAUUGCUUUCUCUUGCCUGAUUGCCCUGGCCAGAACUUCCAACACUACGUUGAAAAGGAGUGGUGAGAGACGGCAUCCCUGUCUUGUGCCAGUUUUCAAAGGGAAUGCUUCCAGUUUUUGCCCAUUCAGUAUGAUAUUGGCUGUGGGUGUGUCAUAAACAGCUUUUACUAUUUUGAGAUACGUCCCAUCAAUACCUAAUUUAUUGAGAGUUUUUAGCAUGAAGAGCUGUUGAAUUUUGUAAAGGCCUUUUCUGCAUCUAUUGAGAUAAUCAUGUGGUUUCUGUCUUUAGUUCUGUUUAUAGGAUGGAUUAUGUUUAUGGAUUUGCAUAUGUUAAACCAGCCUUGCAUCCCAGGGAUGAAACUGACUUGAUCGUGGUGGAUAAGCUUUUUGAUGUGCUGCUGGAUUCAGCUUGCCAGUAUUUUAUUGAGGAUUUUUACAUCGAUGUUCAUCGGGGAUAUUGGUCUAAAAUUCUCUUUUUUUGUUGUGUCUCUGCCAGGCUUUGGUAUCAGGAUGAUACUGGCCUCAUAAAAUGAAUUAGGGAGGAUCCCCUCUUUUUCUAUUGAUUGGAAUAGUUUCAGAAGGAAUGGAACCAGCCCCUCUUUGUACCUCUGGUAGAAUUCAGCUGUGAAUCCGUCUGGUCUUGGACUUUUUUUGGUUGGUAGGCUAUUAAUUAUUGCCUCAAUUUCAGAACCCGUUAUUGGUCUAUUCAGGGAUUCAACUUCUUCCUGGUUUAGUCUUGGGAGGGUGUAUGUGUCGAGGAAUUUAUCCAUUUCUUCUAGAUUUUCUAGUUUAUUUGCGUAGAGGUGUUUAUAGUACUCUCUGAUGGCCAUAUUUCUGUGGGAUCAGUGGUGAUAUCCCCUUUAUCAUUUUUUAUUGUGUCUAUUUGAUUCUUCUCGCUUUUGUUCUUUAUUAGUCUUGCUAGUGGUCUAUCAAUUUUGUUGAUCUUUUCAAAAAACCAGCUCCUGGCUUCAUUGAUAUUUUUGAAGGGUUUUUUGUGUCUAUCUCCUUCAGUUCUGCUCUGAUCUUAGUUAUUUCUUGCCUUCUGCCAGCUUUUGAAUGUGUUUGGUCUUCCUUCUCUAGUUCUUUUAAUUGUGAUGUUAGGGUGUCAAUUUUAGAUCUCUCCUGCUUUCUCUUGUGGGCAUUUAGUGCUAUAAAUUUCCCUCUACACACUGUAUUAAAUGUGUCCCAGAGAUUCUGGUAUGUUGUGUCUUUGUUCUCAUUGAUUUCAAAGAACAUCUUUAUUUCUGCCUUCAUUUCGUUAUGUACCCAGUAGUCAUUCAGGAGCAGGUUGUUCAGUUUCCAUGUAGUUGAGCGGUUUUGACUGAGUUUCUUAAUUCUGAGCUUUAGUUUGAUUGCACUGUGGUCUGAGAGACAGUUUGUUAUAAUUUCUGUUCUUUUACUGAGUAAAUUUGUUAUAAUUUACUGUUCUUUUAUUUGCUGAGGAGUGCUUUACUUCCAACUAUGUGGUCAAUUUUGGAGUAAGUGUGAUGUGGUGCUGACAAGAAUGUAUAUUCUGUUGUUUUGGAGUGGAGAGUUCUGCAGGUGUCUAUUAGGUCUGCUUGGUGCAGAGCUGAGUUCAAUUCCUGGAUAUCCUUAUUAACUUUCUGUCUCGUUGAUCUGUCUAAUGUUGACAGUGGGGUGUUAAAGUCUCCCAUUAUUAUUGCGUGGGAGUCUAAGUCUCUUUGUAGGUCUUUAAGGACUUGCUUUAUGAAUCUGGGUCCUCCUGUAUUGGGUGCAUAUAUAUUUAAGAUAGUUAGCUCCUCUUGUUGAAUUGAUCCCUUUACCAUUAUGUAAUGGCCUUUUGUCUCUUUUGAUCUGUUGGUUUAAAGUCUGUUUUAUCAGAGACUAGGACUGCAAUCCCUGCCUUUUUUUUGUUUUCCAUUUGCUUGGUAGAUCUUCCUCCAUCCCUUUAUUUUGAGCCUAUGUGUGUCUCUGCACGUGAGAUGGGUUUCCUGAAUACAGCAGAUGGGUCUUGACUCUAUCCAAUUUGCCAGUCUGUGUCUUUUAAUUGGAGCAUUUAGCCCAUUUACAUUUAAGGUUAAUAUUAUUAUGUGUGAAUUUGAGCCUGUCAUUAUGAUGUUAGCUGGUUAUUUUGCUCAUUAGUUGAUGCAGUUUCUCCCUAGUAUAGAUGGUCUUUACAAUUUGGCAUGUUUUUGCAGGGCUGGUACCGGUUGUUCCUUUCCGUGUUUUAGUGCUUCCUUCAGGAGCUCUUGUAAGGCAGGCCUGGUUGUGACAAAAUCUCUCAGCAUUUGUUUGUCUGUAAAGGAUUUUAUUUCUCCGUCACUUAUGAAGCUGAGUUUGGCUGAAUAUGAAAUUCUGGGUUGAAAAUUCUUUUAAGAAUAUUGAAUAUUGGCCCCCACUCUCUUCUGGCUUGUAGAGUUUCUGCCGAGAGAUCAGCUAUUAGUCUGAUGGGUUUCCCUUUGUGGGUAAUGAGACCUUUCUCUCUGGCUGCCCUUAACAUUUUUUUCUUCAUUUCAACUUUGGUGAAUCUGACAAUUAUGUGUCUUGGAAUUGCUAUUCUCGAGGAGUAUCUUUGUGGUGUUCUCUGUAUUUCCUGAAUUUGAAUGUUGGCCUGCCUCACUAGGUUGGGGAAGUUCUCCUGGAUGAUAUCCUGAAGAGUGCUUUCCAACUUGGUUGCAUUCUCCCCAUCACUUUCAGGUACACCAAUCAGAUGUAGAUUUGGUCUUCUCACAUAGUCCCAUAUUUCUUGGAGGCUUUGUUCAUUUCUUUUUACUCUUUUUUCUCUAAACUUCUCUUCUCACUUCAUUUCAUUCAUUUGAUCUUCAAUCACUGAUACCCUUUCUUCCAUUUAAUCAAAUCAGCUACUGAAGCUUGUGCAUGCAUCACGUAGUUCUUGUGCCAUGGUUUUCAGCUCCAUCAGGUCAUUUAUGGACUUAUCUAUGCUGUUUAUUCUCGUUAGCCAUUUGUCUACUCUUUUUUCAAGGUUUUUAAGCUUCUUUGUGAUGGGUUCAAACAUCCUCCUUUAGCUGGGAGAAGUUUGUUAUUACCGAUUGUCUGAAGCCGCCUUCUCUCGACUCGUCAAAGUCAUUCUCCAUACAGCUUUGUUCCGCUGCUGGCAAGGAGCUCAUGUUGCUGCCUAAUCCUUCCUCUGGAAGCUUCAUCUCAGAGGGGCACCCAGCCUUAUGAAGUGCCAGUCGCCCCCCUACUGGGAGAUGCCUCCCAGUUAGGCUACUCGGGGGUCAGGGACCCACUUGAGGAGGCAGUCUGUCUGUUCUCAGAUCUCAAACUCAGUGCUGGGAGAACCACUACUCUCUUCAAAGCUGUCACACAGGGACAUUUAAGUCUGCAGAAGUUUCUGCUGCCUUCUGUUCAGCUAUGCCCUGCCCCUAGAGGUGGAGUCUACAGAGGCAGGGAGGCCUCCUUGAGCUGAGGUGGGCUCCACCCAGUUCGAGCUUCCUGGCCACUUUGUUUAUGUACUCGAGCCUCGGCAAUGGCAGAUGCCCCUCCCUCAGCCUUGCUGUCGCCUUGCAGUUUGAUCUCAGACUGCUGUGCUAGCAAUGAGCAGGGCUCCUUGGGCAUGGGACCCUCUGAGCCAGGCGCGGGAUAUAAUCUCCUGGUGAGCCGUUUGCUAAGGCCAUUGGAAAAGUGCAGUAUUAGGGUGGGAGUAUCCCGAUUUUCCAGGUGCAGUCUCUCACGGCUUCCCUUUUGUAGUAAAGGGAAUUCCCCGACCCCUUGCGCUUCCCAGGUGAGGCGAUGCCCCGCCCUGCUCCAUGGGCUGCACCUAUUUGUCUGGCAAGCCCCAGUGAGAUGAACCUGGUACCUCAGUUGGAAAUGCAGAAAUCGCCCAUCUUCUGCAUCGUUCAUGCUGGGAGCUGCAGACUGGAGCUGUUCCUAUUCGGCCAUCUUGGCGCCACCUAUUUCAGAUUUUUCUAAUCAGCUUAAUAUACUUCGAAGAGCUGAAUGCUUUUGUCUUUUAUGUUUAUUAAUUUUCUCAAUAGCCUAGUUUAGAGAAAUUAUUAAUCUUUUACCAAUGUAUCUAUGGUCUUAUUCUGAAGACCUGUAAUCUUAUAAGCUUGAUUUGUUUAUUACAAAAUAUAUUCACUGUAAGUAAG